GGGGAUUUAGCUCAGCGGCAUAAGCGCCUGUCUUGCAAGCAGGCAGUCGUGAGUUCAGUCCCCG
rnacentral:tRNA from 1 species